UUGCCUUCUGUAACUUUUCUGGGUUCUGGUUUGUCACCAGGGAUAACUGACUUAUGGCGACCGAGCAUUCAUAGCGACGUUGCCUUUUGAUCCAUUGAUAUCGGCUCUUCCUAUCAUACUGAAGCAGAAUUCAGUAAGCGUUGAAUUGUUCACCCACUAAUAGGGAACAUGAGCCGGCGGAAGACCUGGCGUUUAGACCGUCGUGAGACAGGUUAGUUUUACCCUACUGAUGAAAUGUUGUUGCAAUAGUAAUUGAACUUAGUACGAGAGGAACCGUUCAUUCGGAUAAUUGGUAUUUGGGCUUGCCUGAGCAGGCAAUGACCCGAUGCUAUCCUCCGUUGGGUUAUGGCUGAACGCCUCUAAGUCAGAACCCGUGCUAGAACGCGACGAUUACCGCCUUUUCCAAUUUUUAGUUGAAUAUGAAUAAAUCCUCGGAUCCUGAAUCAUACAACGUGGGGUUGCCUUGCAGAGCGGAAUGGCGUUGUGAGGUUCCUGUUAAUUUUAAUUUCAAAUAUUGGAAGAGAUAAAUCCAUUGCAGAUGACGUUAAUUGAACGGGGUAUUGUAAGUAGUAGAAUAGCUUUGUUGCUACGAUCUGCUGAGAUUAAGCCCAUUGUUCUCUAGAUUU
rnacentral:ncRNA from 1 species